AGAAACUGACGAAAUUACUUAGGGAAGAAACUAGUGAGGUGUGUGAGUGUACGUCAUAUCCUACUGUUCGCUAUAAAGAAAGUGGCCCAAGACCUGCACCUGCACAUCUUCGAGCUGUGGUAAAGAACGAAGAUAAAAUGAGCAGAAACGACCGUUCCGACUCCUCCUCUGGGAGUCAAAGGGCAAAACCUGAUCCUGCUUAUGAAGGGCGAAACAACUUUUUAA